rnacentral:lncRNA from 1 species
AGAAUAUUGAUUUUGGACUCUUUCACUCGGCUAGUGCCUUCAUGAGUGACCUCUAGAGUUCUCCAAAUAUCAAAAGCUGAGUCACACAUCGAAACGCGAUUAAAUUCAUUUUUGUCAAGUGCACAAUAUAAGGCAUUCAUAGCCUUUGCAUUUAGAGAAAACAUCUUCUUCUCCAAAUCAUUCCAAUGGUUCAUUGGGAGAGAAGACAUUUCAAAUCCAUUUUCGACUAUGUCCCAUAAAUUCAAAUCCAAAGAAAGUAAGAAAACUCUCAUUCGAGUUUUCCAACAAGUGUAGUCCCAUUGAAAAAGGGAGGACGAAUGAGAGAGUGACCCUCUUGAAAGCCAUAAAGAGCCAUUUCUAUUUGGGUGUUAAACCAAAGUAGAAAACCGUGGCUCUGAUACCAAUUGUUAGGA